AUGACUUUGAUCUGCGUCCUCAUCUGGACUCUCCUCUGCUGCUGCUUCACAGAGUCCAGAGGACAGUACACAGUGACUCAGCCUGGAGCAGUGAGCUCUGCUCCGGGAGGCUCCGUCUCCAUCAGCUGUAGGAUCAGUCAGAAGGUUUAUGGUGGGAACUAUUUACACUGGUACCAACAGAGAGAUGGAGAAACUCCUAAACUGCUUAUAACUUAUGGUAGCAGUCGUCAGUCAGGGACUCCAGAUCGUUUUACAGGCAGUGGAUCAAACUCUGACUUCACUCUGACCAUCAGUGGAGUUCAGACUGAAGAUGCAGCAGUUUACUACUGUCAGAGUUAUCACUCUAUCAACAGUCAGUAUGUGUUCACACAAGUCAAGAGGACAGUACACAGUGACUCAGCCUGGAGCAGUGAGCUCUGCACGGGAGGCUCUGUCUCCAUCAGCUGUAGGACCAGUCAGAAGGUUCAUAGUGUGAACUAUUUAGCCUGGUACCAACAGAGAGAUGGAGAAACUCCUAAACUGCUUAUUUCUAGUGAAGCACGCUCCUCGUCCAAUCAUACCUUAACAACCGUCACUUAG